rnacentral:rRNA from 1 species
GGCCUAACACAUGCAAGUCGAGCGGAAACGGCAUAACGGAACCUUCGGGUGAAGAUAUGGACGUCGAGCGGCGGACGGGUGAGUAAUGCUUAGGAAAUUGCCCAGUAGAGUGGGAUAACUAUUGGAAACGAUAGCUAAUACCGCAUAAUAUCUUCGGAUCAAAGUGGGGGACCAUUUGGCCUCAUGCUACUGGAUAUGCCUAAGUGAGAUUAGCUAGUUGGUGAGGUAAGAGCUCACCAAGGCGACGAUCUCUAGCUGGUCUGAGAGGAUGAUCAGCCACACUGGAACUGAGACACGGUCCAGACUCCUACGGGAGGCAGCAGUGGGGAAUAUUGCACAAUGGGCGCAAGCCUGAUGCAGCCAUGC